GCACCCAUAGCUCAGCUGGCUAGAGCACCAUCCUUCUAAGUUGGGGGCCACAGGUUCGAAUCCUGUUGGGUGUU
rnacentral:tRNA from 1 species